UACGUAGGGGGCAAGCGUUGUCCGGAUUUAUUGGGCGUAAAGAGCGUGUAGGCGGCCUGACAAGUCUGCUGUGAAAACUCGAGGCUCAACCUCGAGAUGUCGGCGGAAACUGUCUGGCUAGAGUCCGGAAGAGGAGAGUGGAAUUCCUGGUGUAGCGGUGAAAUGCGUAGAGAUGCGGAGGAACACCGAUGGCGAAGGCAGCCCCCUGGGCUAACACUGACGCUCAGGCACGAAAGCGUGGGGAGCAAACAGG
rnacentral:rRNA from 1 species